UACGUAGGGGGCAAGCGUUGUCCGGAUUUAUUGGGCGUAAAGAGCUCGUAGGCGGUUUGUCGCGUCGGCUGUGAAAGCCCGGAGCUCAACUCCGGGUCUGCAGUCGAUACGGGCAGACUUGAGUGUUGCAGGGGAGACUGGAAUUCCUGGUGUAGCGGUGAAAUGCGCAGAUAUCAGGAGGAACACCGGUGGCGAAGGCGGGUCUCUGGGCAACAACUGACGCUGAGGAGCGAAAGCGUGGGGAGCGAACAGG
rnacentral:rRNA from 1 species